AGAGUUUGAUUCUGGCUCAGGAUGAACGCUAGCUACAGGCUUAACACAUGUAAGUCGAGGGGCAGCAUGUGGUUGCUUGCAACCAAUGAUGGCGACCGGCGCACGGUGAGUAACGCGUAUCCAACCUUCCCUAUAGUAGAGGAUAGCCCGGCGAAAGUCGGAUUAAUACUCUAUGUUUUCCAAUGCAGACAUCUAAAAUGGAACAAAGGUUUACCGCUAUAGGAUGGGGAUGCGUCUGAUUAGAUAGUCGGCGGGGUAACGGCCCACCGAGUCGACGAUCAGUAGGGGUUCUGAGAGGAAGGUCCCCCACAUUGGAACUGAGACACGGUCCAAACUCCUACGGGAGGCAGCAGUGAGGAAUAUUGGUCAAUGGGCGAGAGCCUGAACCAGCCAAGUAGCGUGCCAGGAUGACGGCCCUAUGGGUUGUAAACUGCUUUUAUACAGGGAUAAAGUGACGUACGUGUACGUUAUUGUAGGUACUGUAUGAAUAAGGACCGGCUAAUUCCGUGCCAGCCGCAGC
rnacentral:rRNA from 1 species